rnacentral:tRNA from 1 species
AGAAAUAUGUCUGAAAAAAGAGUUACUUUGAUAGAGUAAAUAAUAGAGGU